CGGUGAGUAACCUGCCUUGGAGUGGGGAAUAACACAGUGAAAACUGUGCUAAUACCGCAUAAUGCAUUUGGGUCGCAUGAUUCUGAAUGCCAAAGAUUUAUCGCUCUGAGAUGGACUCGCGUCUGAUUAGCUAGUUGGCGGGGUAACGGCCCACCAAGGCGACGAUCAGUAGCCGGACUGAGAGGUUGGCCGGCCACAUUGGGACUGAGACACGGCCCAG
rnacentral:rRNA from 1 species